rnacentral:rRNA from 1 species
CCUUUUGUAUAAUGGGUCAGCGACUUAUAUUCUGUAGCAAGGUUAACCGAAUAGGGGAGCCGAAGGGAAACCGAGUCUUAACUGGGCGUUAAGUUGCAGGGUAUAGACCCGAAACCCGGUGAUCUAGCCAUGGGCAGGUUGAAGGUUGGGUAACACUAACUGGAGGACCGAACCGACUAAUGUUGAAAAAUUAGCGGAUGACUUGUGGCUGGGGGUGAAAGGCCAAUCAAACCGGGAGAUAGCUGGUUCUCCCCGAAAGCUAUUUAGGUAGCGCCUCGUGAAUUCAUCUCCGGGGGUAGAGCACUGUUUCGGCAAGGGGGUCAUCCCGACUUACCAACCCGAUGCAAACUGCGAAUACCGGAGAAUGUUAUCACGGGAGACACACGGCGGGUGCUAACGUCCGUCGUGAAGAGGGAAACAACCCAGACCGCCAGCUAAGGUCCCAAAGUCAUGGUUAAGUGGGAAACGAUGUGGGAAGGCCCAGACAGCCAGGAUGUUGGCUUAGAAGCAGCCAUCAUUUAAAGAAAGCGUAAUAGCUCACUGGUCGAGUCGGCCUGCGCGGAAGAUGUAACGGGGCUAAACCAUGCACCGAAGCUGCGGCAGCGACACUGUGUGUUGUUGGGUAGGGGAGCGUUCUGUAAGCCUGUGAAGGUGUGCUGUGAGGCAUGCUGGAGGUAUCAGAAGUGCGAAUGCUGACAUAAGUAACGAUAAAGCGGGUGAAAAGCCCGCUCGCCGGAAGACCAAGGGUUCCUGUCCAACGUUAAUCGGGGCAGGGUGAGUCGACCCCUAAGGCGAGGCCGAAAGGCGUAGUCGAUGGGAAACAGGUUAAUAUUCCUGUACUUGGUGUUACUGCGAAGGGGGGACGGAGAAGGCUAUGUUGGCCGGGCGACGGUUGUCCCGGUUUAAGCGUGUAGGCUGGUUUUCCAGGCAAAUCCGGAAAAUCAAGGCUGAGGCGUGAUGACGAGGCACUACGGUGCUGAAGCAACAAAUGCCCUGCUUCCAGGAAAAGCCUCUAAGCAUCAGGUAACAUCAAAUCGUACCCCAAACCGACACAGGUGGUCAGGUAGAGAAUACCAAGGCGCUUGAGAGAACUCGGGUGAAGGAACUAGGCAAAAUGGUGCCGUAACUUCGGGAGAAGGCACGCUGAUAUGUAGGUGAAGUCCCUCGCGGAUGGAGCUGAAAUCAGUCGAAGAUACCAGCUGGCUGCAACUGUUUAUUAAAAACACAGCACUGUGCAAACACGAAAGUGGACGUAUACGGUGUGACGCCUGCCCGGUGCCGGAAGGUUAAUUGAUGGGGUCAGCGCAAGCGAAGCUCUUGAUCGAAGCCCCGGUAAACGGCGGCCGUAACUAUAACGGUCCUAAGGUAGCGAAAUUCCUUGUCGGGUAAGUUCCGACCUGCACGAAUGGCGUAAUGAUGGCCAGGCUGUCUCCACCCGAGACUCAGUGAAAUUGAACUCGCUGUGAAGAUGCAGUGUACCCGCGGCAAGACGGAAAGACCCCGUGAACCUUUACUAUAGCUUGACACUGAACAUUGAGCCUUGAUGUGUAGGAUAGGUGGGAGGCUUUGAAGUGUGGACGCCAGUCUGCAUGGAGCCGACCUUGAAAUACCACCCUUUAAUGUUUGAUGUUCUAACGUGGACCCGUGAUCCGGGUUGCGGACAGUGUCUGGUGGGUAGUUUGACUGGGGCGGUCUCCUCCUAAAGAGUAACGGAGGAGCACGAAGGUUGGCUAAUCCUGGUCGGACAUCAGGAGGUUAGUGCAAUGGCAUAAGCCAGCUUGACUGCGAGCGUGACGGCGCGAGCAGGUGCGAAAGCAGGUCAUAGUGAUCCGGUGGUUCUGAAUGGAAGGGCCAUCGCUCAACGGAUAAAAGGUACUCCGGGGAUAACAGGCUGAUACCGCCCAAGAGUUCAUAUCGACGGCGGUGUUUGGCACCUCGAUGUCGGCUCAUCACAUCCUGGGGCUGAAGUAGGUCCCAAGGGUAUGGCUGUUCGCCAUUUAAAGUGGUACGCGAGCUGGGUUUAGAACGUCGUGAGACAGUUCGGUCCCUAUCUGCCGUGGGCGCUGGAGAACUGAGGGGGGCUGCUCCUAGUACGAGAGGACCGGAGUGGACGCAUCACUGGUGUUCGGGUUGUCAUGCCAAUGGCACUGCCCGGUAGCUAAAUGCGGAAGAGAUAAGUGCUGAAAGCAUCUAAGCACGAAACUUGCCCCGAGAUGAGUUCUCCCUGACCCUUUAAGGGUCCUGAAGGAACGUUGAAGACGACGACGUUGAUAGGCCGGGUGUGUAAGCGCAGCGAUGCGUUGAGCUAACCGGUACUAAUGAACCGUGAGGCUUAACCUU